AUGGAGCGGAUGGCAGGGUGGAGCCGGCUAGAGCUGGAGAUGAAAGUGAAUCAGAGCGGGGUGGAAACAAUCCAGGAGGUUGGUGUGGCAGGCAGGGCUGACAGAAGCCGAAGAACCAGGAAUCUAGACAUAAGACAGGGUUAUGAGACACGAGUACGAUCAAGGCAGAGAACUAGAGAGGCCACGAUAUACCAGAUUGAUCUAAGUUCCUGCUGGAUUUGCGUCCUCAUCUGGACUCUCCUCUGCUUCACUCAGGGGUCUGUUGGACAGAAUGUUGUUGUGACUCAGUCAGCAGCCAAAUCAGUGCAGCUCGGACAAACUGUCACUAUUGACUGUAAGGCCACUCCAACAAUAAAUCAACGCUCUGGUUCAAAAUACUACCUGAACUGGUACCAUCAGAAACCUGGAGAAGCUUUUAAAGCUCUGAUCUACUUGACAUCAGACAGACUUUCAGGAAUCUCCUCCAGAUUCAGUGGAAGUGGAGCAGGGAAUGGAGUUGACUUCACUCUGACCAUCAGUGGAGUUCAGGCUGAAGAUGCAGGAGUUUAUUACUGUCAGAGUUAUCACUGGUUGAAUAGCCAGCCAGUGUUCACACAGUGAAAAAGCAUCGUACAAAAACCUCCUUCAGUCAGAUAGAACAGAAACUGAACUCAGUGCUACAGCUGGAAGUUAUUCC